rnacentral:rRNA from 1 species
GAUGAACGCUGGCGGCGUGCCUAAUACAUGCAAGUCGAGCGAACAGACGAGGAGCUUGCUCCUCUGACGUUAGCGGCGGACGGAUGAGUAACACGUGGAUAACCUACCUAUAAGACUGGGAUAACUUCGGGAAACCGGAGCUAAUACCGGAUAAUAUAUUGAACCGCAUGGUUCAAUAGUGAAAGACGGUUUUGCUGUCACUUAUAGAUGGAUCCGCGCCGCAUUAGCUAGUUGGUAAGGUAACGGCUUACCAAGGCUACGAUGCGUAGCCGACCUGAGAGGGUGAUCGGCCACACUGGAACUGAGACACGGUCCAGACUCCUACGGGAGGCAGCAGUAGGGAAUCUUCCGCAAUGGGCGAAAGCUUGACGGAGCAACGCCGCGUGAGUGAUGAAGGUCUUCGGAUCGUAAAACUCUGUUAUUAGGGAAGAACAAAUGUGUAAGUAACUAUGCACGUCUUGACGGUACCUAAUCAGAAAGCCACGGCUAACUACGUG